GACAUGUUUUCAUACAAUUCUUAUUUUUAUUUUUUUAUUUGCCAUUUCUUCGUAAUAUUAUCGUAAUCUCAGGCUAUAUAGAAAUUUGCCUCGCCACACAGACGUCUUCGCUUCUCAUUGGUCAGUUCCCCUAGUUAUGCCGAGUGUAACUCCGGAUCAAGAAGAAGCGGGUAGUCCAGUAUAUUAUUAGUAGACGGUCAUUACUGUACAUACUCAAAGAUUAAACCAGUCUACAAUGCAUUUCUUUUAGAAAACGCCAACUCCAGAAAGCCAUCCAAUUGUUCCUGGGCAAAGUGCCAGCCCCCCAGUGACCCUGCUGCUUCCUCUCCAGAUAUUACAUUCCACUGGCACGUCAUUUGCCCCAACUGACGCCGACCUUCUCCUGGACCCCCGAAGUAAACAUUGCCAGCUGGCACUCCUGCCUUAUUUUCCUGAAGGGACGAUUCAUAGUUCCCCUUAAAAGAAUGUCCAAUCCCGCAGCGGCUCAGGAGAUCUGAAGGUCAAAGUGGGGGUCAUGCCGAUCCCACAACCAAGCCCAGGAGCAAUACAGGAAAUGUGAACAACUAGCGGCCUACAGGUCAGGUGCCUGCUUUAGCUCACCAGGUACCUGACCUAUAGGUCAUAAAAAAGAAUCCAAGAUUCCCGAUGAGAGACCAGUCACACCAGAAGGAGAGAUGAGGGUCAUACAGACGUGAGCCCAAGAUCCACCGAGAGAAGAGGAAGUACCAAACUGGGGGUGGAACACGAGUAAGUGGUGACAAGAACAAGAGGGAGGCCCUGUGUUGCAACAGGUGAGGAUGUGUGUAGAACAUGGAAGAAGAACAUAGGCAAGCUGCUCCUUUAGUAUUAAACUGGUUCCAACAGUGGAAGCGACUAGUCCAAGAAAAUGGGGUAUUGUGCCAGCAAAGUCUGGACCUUAAUACUUGUGAAGUAAGGUUGCAGGUUCUUGUCCCCGAGCAGAAUAAAAAAGAGGUUUGGGACGCCUAUCAUAUCCAUGUUGCCCACUUGGGAUAAAUAAAACAUUGUGGUAUGACGAAGGUUCUUUUGGCCCAAAAUGGACAAGGAUGUACAGAUUUGACACUCCCGUUGCAACUGCUGUAAUUUGCGCAAGGCUCGACCGGACAGUACGGCAAACCACCUGCCACCCCUGCAUCUGAAUACAUUUCAAAAUUAUUUCAGUGGAUUAAUGACGGCAAAAUGCUAAUUUGACAGUGAGUGCAGAACACCAGAUGAAAAACAUUCUUUACUUAUGCCACAUUUUUAGUGGCCCCUGAAGUCCCGCUUUAUGGCAGCUUAACAUGAUUUGCACGUGCAAAAGCAGAUUUUGGCCACAAUAUGGGUGUUGCAGCAGGCAAAUCACUGCAGGUAUCCUUACAUCAGGCCCUAGUGUGAUUGGUCUGGCUCUGGACAAACUAGCAGUGCAACAAGGGGACGACAGCUGUUGCCGGCUUGCCACCUCGUGUAACCACUGGUCAUCACCCUGGCGACGUGUCUCCCACUUUAUAACCAUGUUCUAUUUCUCAGGUGACACGAGGGCAACAUUUUCAAUACCAGCCAAUCAUCCUUGAUAGUACUGUCACAUGAUAAUAAAAUGACGAUGUGGACGUAUGAUUGGGAAAUAAGCUAACAGAAUAUUUAGCUUUCUUUUUUAUUGGUUUGAGAAAUAAUUACAUAUAAGAAAAUAAAAGGCUCCUGUGGAAGCCGUCUGUUACAUUGUGUUUCCCUUGUUUCCAUUUUUUUCUUUUAAAUAAAUGAA